GCCGGUGUGGUGAAAUUGGUAUACACGACGGAUUCAAAAUCCGUUGCCUUCGGGCGUGGCGGUUCAAAUCCGCCCACCGGUACCA
rnacentral:tRNA from 2 species